ensembl:lncRNA
AUAGCAACCAAAUAAGGAUGUGGUAGCAGGGAAGGUCCAAGCUGAUAAGGAAGCAGGUCAGAAGCAGCAGGAUCGCAAAGAAAUUUUAAUGAUGACAGGAUAGCAGCUGCAUUUCUGAGUAAAAGGGAUCCGUUGACGCCAGCUGAAGCGAGUGGUCCAAUCAACUGUGGAAGAGCAACGAAUGCAAGGAGAAUGGAUUCUCAUGGGAACGUAGCUGACUGGAAGGCAAUGGAACAUCAUCUAGAAGACCAAGGUUACCUGGAAACACUGUGUGAAAGAAACCCGAAUCCUGCAGCUCAACUGGGCAGGGAGAGCACCAAAAUGUGGGACUUAUGUCACCCCUCCCCUCAAGGUAAAUAUUUGCACACAUAUAAUUUUGUACUUGUGUGCAUGCGUUGUUUUUGUUUGUUCUUGUUGUUACUGUUUUGUUUUGUUGUUUUGUUUUCUUUGAGACAGGGUUUCUCUGUGUAGCCCUGUCUGUCCUGGAACUCACUUCAUAGACCAGACUGGCCUAGAACUCAGAGAUCCACACGAUGCC